UUUGCCCUGGAGAGUUCGAGUAAACGAUUCAAGCCCCGAACCGUAUUAUAUCAUCCCAGGAGGCUGAGCUGUGGCCGGCAAGGACAUGCCUUCGUUGGAAGUCCGCGCUGGCCGCGGCGGUCGUCCGCCCUUGUCUUCAAGGGAUCGGGAAUUGGGUCGUGACGGCUCACCUGGGGCAAUA
rnacentral:other from 1 species